CUCACGAUAAAUUGAUAAUCAUAUCUCCUUUCUAUUUCGUCAGGUCCCCUCUUUUCUCACCCGAAAAUCCAUUUUCUUUCCUCUUUCUCGCUCGAUUUUCUCGGGAAAGUUGCACAACAAUCAUCUGGAGUUGUCGGAAGAAGUUUGAAGUGGUUAAUUUGUCGGUUAUUCUUCGUGUAUGUUCCCGAUUGAAGCUGUGCACUUUCUUUUCGUUUUCUCGAUCAAUUUUCUCGGUAAGGUUGCGGAAGAAUUAUCUGUAGUUAUAGAUAGACGUUUGCAGUGCUUAAUCAAAGCUGUCCACUUUCCGUGCUCAAUUUUCUCGGUGAAGUUGCUGAAGAAUCAUCUGAAGUAGUAGCAGGAAGUUUUCAGGGGUUAAUUUCUCGGUGAUUCUUCGUUUUUUGUUCCUGAUUAAAGCUGUCUACUUUCUUUUCGUUUUCUCGCUCAAUUUUCUCGGUAAAGUUGCGGAAGUAUAAUCGGAGCUAGAACCUCAUCGAAGUUGUCUAUUUUGUCGACGAAUUUGCGGAGGAAUUGUCUGAAGUAAAGGGGCGGAUGGAGCAAGAACUUUCUCGGGGUUAAUUUCUUGGUGAUCAUUGAAUUUUGGUUUCCGAUCGAAGGUGUGGAGGUGGUAAUUUAGAUGGAUUUUGUUCUCGAUGCAGCACAUACCUCGAUUUUUCUCCAGUAGCAAGCGAGGCAAGGCCAUGGAUUCGAAGAAGAACCCUAGGAAGCCGCGGCUCGAGCGUCGCAAUGCCGCCAGGUACAUUGAGUACAACGCGGCCUUGUCGCAUUCGUCGUCAUCGUCUUCAUCGUCGUCGAUCGAGUCGUCGCCGUCGCCGUCGCUCCACACUCGGUCUCUCGAUUUGUCCGACAAGAUGAGCUUCCGAGUCGAGGGAACCGAGGGCGAGUUCGAUCGGAUUUGCCGGAGCUUAGGGCUUUCUGGUCCCGAGGACUUCGCUAUUUCUCUGGCGGCUUGGGAGGCUCGGAAGGUCCGAUCCUCUUCCGCUCUUCUUCCAAGGUCCAGGCUUUUCCCUCUGGAUAGCCCGGAUGGUGCGAAGAGGGAAGAGGAAGGUGAAGCCGUGGCUGAAUUGUGCGAAAGAGUCGUCGAUGAUGUUGUAAUCAGGGAAGUGGAUGUCCCUGAGUUGACUCGGUCUGAGCCGGACAAGCCGAGUGGGCGUUGUGUUGCAAGCGACGGUGCUGCUGUUGUUGUAGGAGGAAUUAAGGGUACUCGGCCUCCGUUGCUGAAACCGCCGCCGUCGAUGACGCUUCCGGAGAUUGAUCGUACGUCCUCCACUUGGGACAUCUUCAGGGAUUUUGCACCUGAUGAUAGGAGAGAUCCUUCUGCUAUUGAAGAGCAUGCUUCUUCCGACGAAGAACACCCAGAAGAAGAGGAUGAAGAGGAAGAAGAAGUAGAAGUAAAACAGGAAGAACAAGCUCAGACGGAAGCUGUUAAGGACCGAGAGGAUGUCAACGCAGCGAGGCUUACAGUUGCUGAGAAUGUGCCACCCUCCGAAACGUGUUCGUUUACCACGUCCAACGAUGACGACUCUUCUAGCAGUACCACGGAGCCCUCCAAUAUUUCGCCCAACGGGAGAUUUACGCGUAAUAUCACGUAUUGGCAAAAGGGUGAGCUUUUGGGGCGCGGGUCAUUUGGAUCAGUGUAUGAAGGAAUUGCUGACGAUGGUUUCUUUUUUGCUGUAAAGGAAGUUUCUUUGCUUGAUCAAGGAGAUCAGGGAAAGCAAAGUAUUUACCAACUAGAACAGGAGAUUGCUCUUUUAAGUCAGUUCGAACAUGAAAACAUAGUUCAAUACUUAGGCACAGACAAGGAUGAAUCAAAGCUUUAUAUUUUUCUAGAGCUUGUAACUAAGGGCUCCCUUCAGAGACUUUAUCAGAGGUACAAUCUUCGGGACUCUCAAGUCUCUGCGUACACAAGACAGAUUCUGCAUGGUUUGAAGUAUCUUCAUGACCGAAAUGUGGUUCACAGGGACAUUAAAUGUGCAAAUAUAUUGGUGGAUGCAAGUGGGUCUGUUAAGCUUUCAGAUUUUGGGUUGGCAAAGGCAACCAAAUUCAACGACGUUAAAUCUUGCAAAGGAACAGCGUGCUGGAUGGCUCCUGAGGUCGUUAAUGGGAAGGGACAAGGAUAUGGGCUUCCAGCUGAUAUAUGGAGUCUUGGAUGCACUGUGUUGGAGAUGUUGACACAAAAGAUACCAUACUCUGAGUUGGAGUGGAUGCAGGCACUAUUUAAAAUUGGAAAGGGCGUGCCGCCUACAGUUCCUGACACUCUUUCCAAAGAUGCACGUGAUUUUAUCUUAAAGUGCAUACAAGUCAAUCCAAGUGAUCGUUCCACUGCUGCUCAGCUCUUAGACCAUCCAUUUGUGAAGAGGCCCCUCCCAACAUCUUCUGGCUCAGCAUCUGCUUAUAUUUUUGGUGCUCGGUCGUCCUAAAUGAUUUUCUGGGCUUAAGUUCUGAUUGAUAGUGUGAGUUCCACGUAAAAGGGACAAUUCUUGUUGUUGCAAUCCUCAAUUUUGGGUAGGUUUAGCCCAAGUUUUGCAGCAAUCGGUUUCGUCCACAGACAAACUGAAAGUCUAUUACAACUUUACGAACUCAAGAAUGGCAAGAGUAUCAGGCAAUGGGAUCUAAUGUAUGACUCCAGAAUCCAUUCUCCAUGGAACAACCAUUCCUUUGUUCUGAUCUAGAUCUCCAUGAUGGCAGAUAUCUUGGUCGGGACUGCCAAAGAUCUUCCACGAGGCUUCACAGAGGACCCAUCACCAGACAUUGUGGUGGGAUCUCUCUUUCUCGUCGCCGUUGGCGGUGCUCCUCACAUUGCCUUUUCUUUUUUUUUUUGGGUAAUUUUGUUUUGUAUUUUGGGUGGGACAAUCAAUUGUAGUAAGAUAGGUUACCACCAAAAGAUUGGUAGGCUACCGUCAACAUUUGGAAUUUUUGACAUCACAACGGACUACCUCCAAUAUUACAGUAGGAUAACGUUAAAUGUUAGUGACGGAUGUUUCGCGUCUAGCCGUUGCCACCGUCUUGUUGUCGGCGCUGCAAUUUGGUCGGAGAAGCAGAGAAAGAAACAAGAGAGAGGCCGUAGAGAGAAAGGGGCGGUAUAGAGAGUU